rnacentral:rRNA from 1 species
GAACUCUGGUAUUGAUUGGUGCUUGCAUCAUGAUUUACAUUUGAGUGAGUGGCGAACUGGUGAGUAACACGUGGGAAACCUGCCCAGAAGCGGGGGAUAACACCUGGAAACAGAUGCUAAUACCGCAUAACAACUUGGACCGCAUGGUCCGAGCUUGAAAGAUGGCUUCGGCUAUCACUUUUGGAUGGUCCCGCGGCGUAUUAGCUAGAUGGUGGGGUAACGGCUCACCAUGGCAAUGAUACGUAGCCGACCUGAGAGGGUAAUCGGCCACAUUGGGACUGAGACACGGCCCAAACUCCUACGGGAGGCAGCAGUAGGGAAUCUUCCACAAUGGACGAAAGUCUGAUGGAGCAACGCCGCGUGAGUGAAGAAGGGUUUCGGCUCGUAAAACUCUGUUGUUAAAGAAGAACAUAUCUGAGAGUAACUGUUCAGGUAUUGACGGUAUUUAACCAGAAAGCCACGGCUAACUACGUGCCAGCAGCCGCGGUAAUACGUAGGUGGCAAGCGUUGUCCGGAUUUAUUGGGCGUAAAGCGAGCGCAGGCGGUUUUUUAAGUCUGAUGUGAAAGCCUUCGGCUCAACCGAAGAAGUGCAUCGGAAACUGGGAAACUUGAGUGCAGAAGAGGACAGUGGAACUCCAUGUGUAGCGGUGAAAUGCGUAGAUAUAUGGAAGAACACCAGUGGCGAAGGCGGCUGUCUGGUCUGUAACUGACGCUGAGGCUCGAAAGUAUGGGUAGCAAACAGGAUUAGAUACCCUGGUAGUCCAUACCGUAACGAUGAAUGCUAAGUGUUGGAGGGUUUCCGCCCUUCAGUGCUGCAGCUAACGCAUUAAGCAUUCCGCCUGGGGAGUACGGCCGCAAGGCUGAAACUCAAAGGAAUUGACGGGGGCCCGCACAAGCGGUGGAGCAUGUGGUUUAAUUCGAAGCUACGCGAAGAACCUUACCAGGUCUUGACAUACUAUGCAAAUCUAAGAGAUUAGACGUUCCCUUCGGGACAUGGAUACAGGUGGUGCAUGGUGUCGUCAGCUCGUGUCGUGAAGAUGU